UGGGGAAUCUUAGACAAUGGGCGCAAGCCUGAUCUAGCCAUGCCGCGUGAGUGAAGAAGGCCCUAGGGUCGUAAAGCUCUUUCACCAGGGACGAUGAUGACGGUACCGCCGGAAGAAGCCCCGGCUAACUCCGUGCCAGCAGCCGCGGUAAGACGGAGGGGGCAAGCGUUGUCCGGACUCACUGGGCGUAAAGGGCGCGCAGGCGGGACGGCGCGUCGGCGCUGAAAGCGCCCGGCUUAACCGGGCGCGGCGCGGCGAUACGACCGACCUGGAGGCAGGCAGAGGGUGGCGGAAUUCCGGGUGUAGUGGUGAAAUGCGUAGAGAUCCGGAGGAACGCCUGUGGCGCAAGCGGCCGCCUGGGCCUGACCUGACGCUGAGGCGCGAAAGCGUGGGGAGCGAACCGGAUUAGAUACCCGUGUAGUCC
rnacentral:rRNA from 1 species